CGUGGUAGCUUCAGUGCCGUGACUGUUCUGUGACUUGCGAGCCCCCCUUUCCCAGGUCCUUGCCUUUAGGGACAUAGAUCCACAAGCUCCUACCCAUAUUCUAAUCAUUCCUAAAGUUAGGGAUGCAUGGUUGACUGGUCUGUCCAAGGUAUUUGUUAAUGAGUUUUCUGCGUCUGUAGGCAUAUUAUGUUGUCUGAGAUGUUCAUUUGAAGAUCAUUUAUAUA